rnacentral:rRNA from 1 species
GCUCUCCAAACUCGGUCAUUUAGAGGAAGUAAAAGUCGUAACAAGGUCUCCGUUGGUGAACCAGCGGAGGGAUCAUUACCGAGUUUUCAACUCCCCAAC